rnacentral:rRNA from 1 species
UACGAAGGGAGCUAGCGUUGUUCGGAAUCACUGGGCGUAAAGCGCACGUAGGCGGAUUUGUCAGUCAGGGGUGAAAUCCCGGGGCUCAACCUCGGAACUGCCUUUGAUACAGCAAGUCUUGAGUUCGAGAGAGGUGGGUGGAAUUCCUAGUGUAGAGGUGAAAUUCGUAGAUAUUCGGAAGAACACCAGUGGCGAAGGCGGCUCACUGGCCCGGUACUGACGCUGAGGUGCGAAAGCGUGGGGAGCAAACAGG